AAAGAAUUAGUUAAAUUAACAUUAGUAUGUCAAGCUAAAAUUAUUAGUAUAAAUCUAGUAUUCUUUG
rnacentral:tRNA from 1 species